rnacentral:rRNA from 1 species
GAUGAACGCUGGCGGCGUGCCUAAUACAUGCAAGUCGAGCGAACAGACGAGGAGCUUGCUCCUCUGACGUUAGCGGCGGACGGGUGAGUAACACGUGGAUAACCUACCUAUAAGACUGGGAUAACCUCGGGAAACCGGAGCUAAUACCGGAUAAUAUAUUGAACCGCAUGGUUCAAUAGUGAAAGACGGUUUUGCUGUCACUUAUAGAUGGAUCCGCGCCGCAUUAGCUAGUUGGUAAGGUAACGGCUUACCAAGGCAACGAUGCGUAGCCGACCUGAGAGGGCGAUCGGCCACACUGGAACUGAGACACGGUCCAGACUCCUACGGGAGGCAGCAGUAGGGAAUCUUCCGCAACGGGCGAAAGCUUGACGGAGCAACGCCGCGUGAGUGAUGAAGGUCUUCGGAUCGUAAAACUCUGUUAUUAGGGAAGAACAAAUGUGUAAGUAACUAUGCACGUCUUGACGGUACCUAAUCAGAAAGCCACGGCUAACUACGUG